UUGUUUGGGUGACAUUUCUCACUGUGUA
rnacentral:piRNA from 1 species